rnacentral:ribozyme from 1 species
UGUCCAGCAACUCCUAUCUCUUCCUCCUCGUGGUACUGGCCGGGGUACGAGCAGCCUUAGGGAAAAUCGGAUAACCAACCCCGGUUGGAACUUUGGUCGUAUGCUGAUAGGGAAGA